rnacentral:rRNA from 1 species
CAGUCGCCGCGGUAACACCAGCACCUCGAGUGGUCAGGAGGUUUAUUGGGCCUAAAGCAUCCGUAGCCGGUUGCAUAAGUUUUCGGUUAAAUCUAUGCGCUUAACGUAUAGGCCGCCGAAAAUACUGUGCAGCUAGGGAGUGGGAGAGGUACACGGUACUCGAUAGGAAGGGGUAAAAUCCUUUGAUCUAUUGAUGACCACCUGUGGCGAAGGCGGUGUACCAGAACACGUUCGACGGUGAGGGAUGAAAGCUGGGGGAGCAAACCGGAUUAGAUACCCGAGUAGUCCCUGUCUCUUAUAC